GUGCUCGCUUCGGCAAGUAUAGUGCACAAAUACCAAAACUGGAAUGGUAAAGAGAAGAUUAGCAUGGCCCCUGUGCAUGGAUGACACUCAAAUUUAUGGAGGCCUGAGAAUCAGCC
rnacentral:snRNA from 1 species